rnacentral:rRNA from 1 species
UACGUAGGGUGCAAGCGUUGUCCGGAAUUAUUGGGCGUAAAGAGCUCGUAGGCGGUUUGUUGCGUCGGCUGUGAAAUCCCGAGGCUCAACCUCGGGUCUGCAGUCGAUACGAGCAAACUAGAGUGUUGCAGGGGAGACUGGAAUUCCUGGUGUAGCGGUGAAAUGCGCAGAUAUCAGGAGGAACACCGGUGGCGAAGGCGGGUCUCUGGGCAACAACUGACGCUGGAGGAAGCGAAAGCCGUGGGGAGCAAACAGG